UAUAACAAUGUAGAUAAGGGAAGUUGGCAAAAAAGAUCCGUAACUUCGGGAUAAGGAUUGGCUCUAAGAGCUGAGUCAGUCGGUCUGGGGUGCGAUGCGAGGCUGGGCUUGAGCCGCGGCUGGGGGAGCAGUCGCUCUGUCGCCCUCCUCUCGCCACCAUUGGAAGUUCAUUGUGUGGCCCAUCCCGCAUUCUCUCGUGCAUGGUCUCGCAAGGGGCUGCGUGCAGGGGUUCGUCGGGGUGGUGUCCGUUGGCGGGACGGAAGGCGGACCGGUGGGGGGUUGGGUCCGGAGGUUGGCGGUGGCAACUCCGGACGCACGCCGGGCCCUUCUCGCAGAUCUCCCCAGCUACGGCGCUCGCAUUGUAGGUGAGGAGGUCUCCUCUACGCUCACUAGACUUGAGGCAGAGACUAAACCCAUUGGCCCCGCAGUGAUAGGGCAUUGCAUGGAUCUGGCUCAUGCCCUACGAAGUGGGGAGAGGUAUCUCUAGCUUGUCUGGAGAGGGAGGCCUACAUCUGAUAUGGGUAGUACCAUCCACGGCCAUGGAUUUGCUGUGAAACCAUAAAAUGGACGGAAGAAGCCUAGGUUCCCACUGGGCACGGAUCACUGAAUGUCAACUUGAUGAAAUUCAAAAGGAGCGUACCCACCUGUCGCAGUCGCACUCAAAUCACACGUGGGGUGACUGACCCCCUCAUGUCAAAGUGAGGAAAUUCGAUGAAGCGGGGGUAAACGGCGGGACAUAAUUAAGAGUCUCUUGAGGUAGCCAAAUGCCUCGUCAUCCAAUUAGUGAUCCGCAUGAAUGGAUGAAUGAGAUUCCCACUGUCCCUACCUACUAUCUAGCAAAACCACAGCCAAGGGAAUGGGCUUGA
rnacentral:ncRNA from 1 species